CACUCAUUACCACCUCACCCUUCUACUCACUCUCUCCGACCAACGUUACAAAAAAUAAUAAUAAUAAAAACUUCACCUAACACUACUCACUCCACUCAUGUCAAUCUCCCACCACACACUCUGAGAAAGAAAAAAAAGGAAAUCAAAAAAGAAAAGAAAGACGUCGUCUUCCUCCUCCGACGCCCUUCGUCCACCUUCCAACACCAUUGCACGCCGGUAACCACCCCCAUCACUCCUCACCAUUUCCACAUCUCCACAACCUAUACACUUUUCACACCGUGAAUAACCUCCGAAGCUCCUCCGCCAUCACCGGCGAACUAAACACUGGAACCUUCACACACUCACAUCCAUUGUUUCUCUUCCACUUCUCCACCUUAAACCUCAUAGUCAUUCCAUUAAAAAAACAAAACCUUCUUUAUUUUUCAUCAAAGCCAUAUACAUAUACCAAAACUUCUCCAAAAAGAAAAGGAAAACAAGUCAAAAGAAAAAGUUGUAACACAUCUCUUUCAUCUUCGUCGAAGACUCGACUUCACCAUUUAUUUUCAUGUAGCAAAUUAUUGAAUGAUGCUCACUGACAAUGUUUGAUACAAACUGUGAAUCUUCAUUUUUUGCAUCACCGUGAAACUUCGAUGUACCACAGUAAAAUCUCCUACGAGCAUAAUAAACUAUCACCACCAAACUUCAAACUUUGAACAACACUCUUUCACAAAAAACAACACACCACCUCCAAACUAGUCGCCGACGAAGAAACACGCCUGAGAAACACAAGUUGUAAUCCGCCGCGAAUCACUCCGGAAACAACUACGAACUGCCACCGGAGCAUACUUCCCUUCAUCCUUGUCUACCACCGCAUCCAUUAACGCCUCUCAUUCAUA
rnacentral:lncRNA from 1 species